GAUGGACAGAGGGGUUUUUUACACAGACUGGAGAUGCCUGCGAAGGCACGAAAGAAUAUAGAGAUUGGAUAAAGCGUUGCUCGUGCUUGACGCUACCCCCAAGUUGCAUUUACCAAGCACCCGUCUGGAGAAAACGGUCGUGUCGAACGUUCCACGGUGGGUCGAGUCUUUCAUAAGCACCCUCCAUAGCGCCUGUGGCGCUGGCGCAGGUGCACCACGGAGGCAGAACGGCUUUGCUAUGCCGCGAAGGGCAUCAGCAUGCGACUUGAUUCAUUCCAUGCGGGACCGGUAUUCAUCGUUAUCGAUUUAUGCUCCGACAGCCUGCGUACACUGACCUGCACUCGCGCCACGUUGCCUUGGAGACACUUGGCAGUUAGAAAGAAUUCUGGGGAGCGCGUUUCUCCUUCACCACCAUGUAUCGCGUGUGUUGACGUUUCGAUACGCGGACCUUUGCUCGGCUUACGCGAGUGACGAGGUGAACGAAUCCGUGAACCUGCAUGCUCGUCCUGCUCGAUGAAAUGCCUCCCGACUAGCAGCUAGUCGAUGUGCUGCUGAAUCCGUGAACCUGCGUGCUCGUCCUGCUCGAUGAAAUGCCUCCCGACUAGCAGCUAGUCGAUGUGCUGCUGAAUCCGUGAACCUGCGUGCUCGUCCUGCUCGAUGAAAUGCCUCCCGACGAGCAGCUAGUCGAUGUGCUGGUGCGUGUGCGGUUAGCGCCGCCUCUAACAACUUGGUGCGGGGCUAUCGCUCGAUGGACGCACGCCCGGCGCGAUUCACGAGGCUCUGUACGCUUGGGGACAACCCAGCGGCAUGAGUGCGCAACGACCGGGAAAAAUCGGACCGGAGGUCCUUCGUACACGACACGAUACGUGAACCGAUCCAGCCGUACUGUCAUGGAGCACGCAUCAUGAGGCUCCAAAAGACGUCGAGGCUGGGCCCAGUGGUCGCGAACGGCACGCUUCCGGUAUCGCCGGAUACCUCGGACGGACACGAGCAGCGCGUAAGCGUGCAUCAAUAUACCCACAGCAUCGAAAAGGGACUUUUUCAGAUGGAAACGGAACCUGUUCGCCGGAGUUGACGUUACCUUCGAGGCCCACGCGAGAAUCCAGAGCUGGACACGUGCGAUCUUGGACACCUGCUCAGUGCUGCUGCUGCUUCUGCUGCCUUACGACGGAUCGAUUCGGGACGAGCUUCCGAUUUUCGCAACGCUAACAGAGAACGUCUGUCGGAAAGUGCCUCCAGCUAGUGUCUGCAUAUCCGAACAGUACAAGGAUUCGCAUCGUUAUCACUUGUCAUGGGUAAAUACGUUU